CCUACGGGUGGCAGCAGUGGGGAAUAUUGCACAAUGGGCGGGAGCCUGAUGCAGCAACGCCGCGUGAAGGAAGACGGUUUUCGGAUUGUAAACUUCUAUCAAUAGGGGAGAAAGAAAUGACGGUACCUAAAUAAGAAGCCCCGGCUAACUACGUGCCAGCAGCCGCGGUAAUACGAAGGGGGCGGGCGUUAUCCGGAAUUACUGGGUGUAAAGGGAGAGUGGGCGGCAAGGUAAGCGAUAUGUGAAAGCCUUAAGCUUAACUUAAGGAUUGCAUAACGAACUAUCUAGCUAGAGUACAGGAGAGGAAAGCGGAAUUCCUAGUGUAGCGGUGAAAUGCGUAGAUAUUAGGAAGAACACCAGUGGCGAAGGCGGCUUUCUGGACUGAAACUGACGCUGAGGCUCGAAAGCGUGGGGAGCGAACAGGAUUAGAUACCCUUGUAGUC
rnacentral:rRNA from 1 species